rnacentral:rRNA from 1 species
GGAAUUCGAUUCGGUGUGACAAGGCCCGGGAACGUAUUCACCGCGGCGUGUUGAUCCGCGAUUACUAGCGAUUCCAACUUCACGCCGGCGAGUUGCAGCCGACGAUCCGAACUGAGACCGACUUUCUCCGAUUAGCUCCCCCUUGCGGGCUCGCGACGGUUUGUGCCGGCCAUUGUAGCACGUGUGUAGCCCCAGACAUAAAGGCCAUGCUGACUUGACGUCAUCCCCACCUUCCUCCGGUUUAUCACCGGCAGUCUCUCCAGAGUGCCCAGCUUAACCUGAUGGCAACAGAAGACAAGGGUUGCGCUCGUUGCGGGACUUAACCCAACAUCUCACGACACGAGCUGACGACAGCCAUGCAGCACCUCUACGAGUGUCCUUGCGGAAGCUCCCUUUCGGGAGUGGUCACUCGCUGUUCAAGCCUGGGUAAGGUUCUUCGCGUUAAUCACUA